AACUGGAGGAAGGUGGGGAUGACGUCAAGUCAUCAUGGCCCUUACGACCAGGGCUACACACGUGCUACAAUGGCGCAUACAAAGAGAAGCGACCUCGCGAGAGCAAGCGGACCUCAUAAAGUGCGUCGUAGUCCGGAUUGGAGUCUGCAACUCGACUCCAUGAAGUCGGAAUCGCUAGUAAUCGUAGAUCAGAAUGCUACGGUGAAUACGUUCCCGGGCCUUGUACACACCGCCCGUCACACCAUGGGAGUGGGUUGCAAAAGAAGUAGGUAGCUUAACCUUCGGGAGGGCGCUUACCACUUUGUGAUUCAUGACUGGGGUGAAGUCGUAACAAGGUAACCGUAGGGGAACCUGCGGUUGGAUCACCUCCUUACCUUAAAGAA
rnacentral:rRNA from 1 species